ACUGGCGCCUUUAAUAAAAGUAUCAUGGUGCGAGGCAUCUUCUCUUCUACUUAGCGAGUCUUAUCACUUGCCAUUACCUAGGCAUGGAGUCCAGGAACAGCAGUAAUCCAUGUUCCUCCUCAAAGCUUCCUUGAGCCCACUACCCUUGGCAGAGCUGUCUUCACAAGAACAGGUUUGGAAGGUGUAUGCUGAUGGAUGUGCACACUGCAUCCUAUCAAAGGAUGACACCAUGGCUGCACUGCCUGGGCAGUCACC